GCGUAUCGUGUUCGUGCCUCUUUCUUUUCCUGCUUUUCUCCAUCUCCACACCUCCCUCCCAAAUUUCGCCGCCUUCGGCCAUGGCUCAGAUGCCGCCGGUUGAGCCCCUCCGUUCCUCCCUCUCCUCGCCGCCGCUGAGCCGCGCUCACGGGCGAAGCCCACAUCGAUAGGCCCUUCUCUCUCUCCCCGUUCGGGGGGUGGACGAUGCUGGACGACUCCGUCGAGCGGCAGCGUUUUGUAUCGCUGCGGCCCCAUCCUCUUCCGCGAUUCUCUCCCCUCUCUCCAAUUUACAGACGGUUGUGGGCGUCUGCAUCUGUGCUCACGAUGGUGCUGCUGGCUGCCGGGCCAGCGCCGGCGGCACAGGGGUGCAGAGUUGGUGGGCGCGGCCGCCCACGGGCGAUUAGGGGAGUCUAGCCCACGGGGAGCAUGACACGGGGAGGAUUCUACACCGUGGAGGACCAAGACGACGACCACGGCCACGCAACACUGGCUGAUGUGCUGUGCAGCGGGCGGACGCGACGACCCAGAGGGGGCCUCGCGAUGCAGCUUCACCUCGGCGCGUCAUUGAUUUCAUGGCGACAGACAACUGGUGGCGUCCCUGAUGUGCUGUUGUUGUUGCACGGCUUGGCCGCAGGCAGGUGGACUUCAGACGGCAUGUUGUUGUACAUUGACUCGCCGGGGCAGCCGACGCAGGUGCAACCAGGGCCGCUGCACUCGUGGGCGGCGCGGUGGCGCUCGGACGGGCCUUCACGCGCAGCGGCGUGAGACCACCCAUGCCGGAACUUGAAACAUGGGAUUCGAGCCUGCUGGAUAUAAUCAAGCGGCUGCAGAAGAUGGAAGAGGGGCAGCACAAUGCCUGACACAACUGACAGCGGUGGCGCGUUGUUGAGCACCAGAUUAAGGCUGCCUACGUAUUUCACUCCAGAGCACCAUAUUAAGGUUGAUUUGAUUGCAGCAUUUACAUUUACAUGAAGGGUUAUUUCCAUGUAUAAAUUGCAUGGAGGUUAGUUGAUAAUCUUCUGUCUGGUUAGUGCUUCAAUAAGGAGAAUUUUGCAAAUUGUGCAUCGUGUUUUAGUUAGUGGACAGUUACCGAAUACGGUGACUGUUCUUGACCUAUAGUUUUUCAGAGCGCAAGGUAUCAUCUAAUUUGUACGACACACUUUGCUCAUUAGAGUUAACACUACUCUUGGUGCCACAACAGUUUGCUGUUCUAUCAGUCCACACCUAUGCCUUAAGGAGGAACUCACGACCAGCUGCUGCAUCAGCCAAAAAAGGUAUAUUUCCGCACUGAUAGUUUGCAUUUCUCUUCCUUCAUCGCUAUGUAUUCAUAUACGGGUUCAGACAGUGGUGUAUUCGCUCAGCUUACGUGUUUGUGGAGCUCAAGUUAUCUUUAAAGUGUCAUUUUCUUGCAUUCUUACUGCCUCUACAUGUUUGCAGCUAAACCUUCAAGUUAUUCCUCGAAUUCUUAGGUUACAGCUUUAAUUUCUCAAAACUCUAAUGGAUUCAGAAAUCACUUUAGAAUUCUAAAAAAAAUCAGUACACUCAACUUUGCCUGAUGGUUUACCACUGAAUGCAGGUUAACUAUCUCAUCGGUGACCUUUCUCCCUUUUGCCUGAUGGUUUACCACUGAAUCCAGUCAACUUUCUCACUCUUCAUGCAAGUUAUAGCGCACAUCACGACUGAGCUCAGUUGCAAUAGCGAGGCGAGCCAAUUGAUUGAACAAUAGGCAAUGUGCCAGAUAGUAUUUAUAUAGAAGAGAGAAAUUUGGUUUCAUGCAUAUUGCAGCACAUAAUAUGUCCCCUUUUACACUGAAGUUUCCAGUUCAGUGAGUUUGCAGUUUCGGACUUCCGUUCUGUUCCGCUAACAAACAGAUAAAUCUUGAUACUGGUUAUGCCCAACCAAGUAUCAUGACUUAACCUGUUCACUAAAGGUCGACAUACUUGAGAUUAUAAUGUGGACUGGGAUUGAGCAAAUUAAUAUCUUCAUCACUGGGUACUUGCACGGUUCUACCACCAUAGAAGAUGCCCGCUUCUUAUAGGUAGAGAAUCCUAAAUGUGUGCUAGCUGUAACCGGUAUGGAUCCAGAACUCACCUCUCCUUUUUCAGUAAGCCCUUUGUCUCAUUUUUGUUUGUGGCAUCAGAAAUUUAAAGUACCGCCAUUGCAAUAGGACACUGUCUAUUGCAUCUGACCAAAUAGUGUGAGCUGCAUGUUUCUUUCCUUCCUUCUCAGCUAUUAAGUUGUCUUAAAACGUAGCAUGUUUUUUCGUCUAACAAUGCCUAGGGUAUAAGACUCUGACAAUACCGACCAUUUAGGCCACAACACUCGUGAGCAGAACAAAUUAGGAAAAGGAUUUCCUGUGAAGAUCUUAUUCUUCCUGAUAGGUUUUUAUUGUGCCACAGUACUUCUUCCGUCGUUGGACAAAUAGGUCACUGGGAGAUACUCUCGGCUUUUCAUUCUAAUCCAAAAGAUGGUGUACAAAAGUGACAGUGCUUACAUAUUAAUGAUGUACAGUGUGCAAUAAAUAUAACAUGUACUUCAAGGUUGUAAGUUUAAUGUUCUCUAAGAGUGCUACUAUGUAAAUAAUAAUUGCAAAUAUCUUAUAUGUAUAUAUAUUUUUACCUUGGAAACACCUACAAUGUUGUAGGUGACUCGUGUAGUUUCUAUUGAAAAGGUAACAUUCAGGUGUUGUAAAUGUCUUCCAUAAUCUGAUGCCAAGUAGGCAGAGGAUGAGUAUUUUCAUAACUUA